UACGUAGGGUGCAAGCGUUGUCCGGAAUUAUUGGGCGUAAAGAGCUCGUAGGCGGUCCGUCACGUCGGCUGUGAAAACUCGGGGCUCAACCCCGAGCCUGCAGUCGAUACGGGCGGACUAGAGUCCGGCAGGGGAGACUGGAAUUCCUGGUGUAGCGGUGAAAUGCGCAGAUAUCAGGAGGAACACCGGUGGCGAAGGCGGGUCUCUGGGCAUUAACUGACGCUGAGGAGCGAAAGCAUGGGGAGCGAACAGG
rnacentral:rRNA from 1 species